rnacentral:rRNA from 1 species
UACGUACCGUCCAAACGUUAUUCGGAAUUACUGGGCUUAAAGGGUAUGUAGGCGGCGCUGUUAGUCGGGUGUGAAAUCCCACGGCUCAACCGUGGAAUUGCGCCCGAUACUGCAGUGCUUGAGGGAGACAGAGGUAAGCGGAACUGAUGGUGGAGCGGUGAAAUGCGUUGAUAUCAUCAGGAACACCAGUGGCGAAAGCGGCUUACUGGGUCUCUUCUGACGCUGAGAUACGAAAGCCAGGGGAGCGAAGGGG